rnacentral:rRNA from 1 species
AGCAGCCGCGGUAAUUCCAGCUCCAAUAGCGUAUAUUAAAGUUGCUGCAGUUAAAAAGCUCGUAGUUGAAUUUCGGGACCAAUAUGUCGGUCGUGCCUCGGUACGUACUGGCAUUAUUGGUUCCUACCUUCUGAAGAACCUCGAUGUCAUUAAUUUGGUGUCUUGGGGAAUCAGGACCGUUACUUUGAAAAAAUUAGAGUGUUUAAAGCAGGCUCGCGCUUGAAUACAUUAGCAUGGAAUAAUGAAAUAGGACGUUUGAUUCUAUUUUGUUGGUUUCUAGGAUCGACGUAAUGAUUAAUAGGGAUAGUUGGGGGCAUUAGUAUUCAAUUGUCAGAGGUGAAAUUCUUGGAUUUAUUGAAGACUAACUACUGCGAAAGCAUUUGCCAAGGAUGUUUUCAUUAAUCAAGAACGAAAGUUAGGGGAUCGAAGACGAUCAGAUACCGUCGUAGU